ACACCCUCAAGCUCUGCUUGGUGUUGGGCGUCUGUCCCGCCUCAGCGCGUGGACUCGCCCCAAAUUCAUUGGCAGCGGUCUUUGCCUCCUCUCGCGCAGCACAUUGCGCUUCUCGAGGUGCUUGCGAACCGCGUCCACGAAGCAUUAUUACCGU
rnacentral:misc_RNA from 1 species